UGGGGAAUUUUGGACAAUGGGCGAAAGCCUGAUCCAGCAAUGCCGCGUGUGUGAAGAAGGCCUUCGGGUUGUAAAGCACUUUUGUCCGGAAAGAAAUCCUUGGCUCUAAUACAGUCGGGGGAUGACGGUACCGGAAGAAUAAGCACCGGCUAACUACGUGCCAGCAGCCGCGGUAAUACGUAGGGUGCAAGCGUUAAUCGGAAUUACUGGGCGUAAAGCGUGCGCAGGCGGUUUGCUAAGACCGAUGUGAAAUCCCCGGGCUCAACCUGGGAACUGCAUUGGUGACUGGCAGGCUAGAGUAUGGCAGAGGGGGGUAGAAUUCCACGUGUAGCAGUGAAAUGCGUAGAGAUGUGGAGGAAUACCGAUGGCGAAGGCAGCCCCCUGGGCAAUACUGACGCUCAUGCACGAAAGCGUGGGGAGCAAAACAGGAUUAGAUACCCUGGUAGUCCACGCCCUAAAACGAUGUCAACUAGUUGUUGGGGAUUCAUUUCCUUAGUAACGUAGCUAACGCGUGAAGUUGACCGCCUGGGGAGUACGGUCGCAAGAUUAAAACUCAAAGGAAUUGACGGGGUCAUAGCUG
rnacentral:rRNA from 1 species